GAUGAAACGCUAGCUACAGGCUUAACACAUGCAAGUCGCGGGGCAGCAUGUUACUGGCUUGCCAGUAAUGAUGGCGACCGGCGCACGGGUGAGUAACACGUAUCCAACCUGCCGUCUACUCUUGGACAGCCUUCUGAAAGGAAGAUUAAUACAAGAUGGCAUCAUGAGUCCGCAUGUUCACAUGAUUAAAGGUACUCCGGUAGACGAUGGGGAUGCGUUCCAUUAGAUAGUAGGCGGGGUAACGGCCCACCUAGUCUUCGAUGGAUAGGGGUUCUGAGAGGAAGGUCCCCCACAUUGGAACUGAGACACGGUCCAAACUCCUACGGGAGGCAGCAGUGAGGAAUAUUGGUCAAUGGCGAGAGCCUGAACCAGCCAAGUAGCGUGAAGGAUG
rnacentral:rRNA from 1 species